GUGUGAACAGCAGUAGGAGAAAUUAGAUUUCCUCAAUACUCAGAGCGUUAUUAUUUAAUUUGACAUGAUUUACAGCUAUAAAGAUUUUCAGCAUUCUUAUUUCAGAAUCAGUAGUCUAUUUAUACGUAGGCCUAUAUACUGCACACUACACAGAAAAAGUAUACGAAAACGGAGACACUUCAUAUUUUGAGCAGUACCAUUUUUAAUGGUAAUAAUAAUUGGAUGCUUAUUUCUUUGUACAGGUGCCUAUGUCUCAUUAAACAUACCUGCUAUUUCAAAGAUGAUCAAUCUAAGUAUAGUCGCGCCCAAAAAUGAAAUAGUAGAACAACUUUUUUACUCGUUCAUAAGCUAUAACCACAGUACUCUGGCAACAACUGAAUCCUCUCAAUGAAAGUGCAGUAGCUAUAGCUUUUCUAACUGAAGAGGUUUCUCAGGAGGCCUUCUAUGAUUGCAUUUCUCAUUAUGAAGUUUUUGUGGCGAGCCAAGAGCGUGCAGUCUCUUUUCAAAUUGGUGCAUAUUAUCUAACCACAUUAUUUUAAUGGCACUCACAAAGCAUUUUUUUUAAUCUAUUUAUUUUUUUACACCUUUCUAUGAUUGUCCACAUUUGAAUAACAUAUUGUUUUUAAAAUUCUGUUGGGGAAUAACCUGUGGACCAAAAAUAUUAUUUAGUCAUGUUUUUAUGUUGGCUAUUCAUAUUGAGGCCCUAUUGUUGCGUGAUGGAGACCCCCCAACAACCAUGUGAACACACCCGAUUCGAACGUUAUCACUCGAUUGAAUGGGGCGUUAUCAGCGGUUAUCAGCCCAUAGAAAUGGGCCAGGAGGGGCCUCCUGUGCCUACUAGUAGGCUCAGAAGGCCGUGAUCAUCCAUCCAAAUGGUUGAUCACCCACAAAUAUACAAGAGAAGACUCCAGAUCCAAUCCCAGAAUUCCUGCUCACCGGUAAUCGGAAGUCUACUGGACGAAUGCGGGAACGUUGCGAUAUUUCCUGCUUAAUAUUUUCAGGCACAAUGAAUGAUAUUAAGGGCAGGUGCGCCACAUUGGGGGAAGAUGCAAAGCAAAAAUACAUUCAAGAGGCAGCAGCACUGAGGGCACAUGGGCAGUCACAGGACACUAAACCCUGAGAUGGAGGCAAUUUGUGCUGUGUCUGCCGCAUCCAUUUUUAUGAUAAGAAGAAGAAUGCAAGAAAGAAGUGGCAUUCAUGGUCUCAGUGCACAGUGUGCCAAUCAUGGUCACACACAGCACGUGGCUUUAAAAAGAACAUGUGCGUUCACUGCAAAUGUGAAGACACCAUGCAAACACCCUGAAUAUGUAUCUUGUUACUUGUUUGGGUUGUUUUUACUGUGUUGACGGCCCCCAACCCAUCCAUACAAACACACACACACAAUACAUACAUAUGCUGCAAAUUUAUUGUAAUGACCACACUUCACACGUAAGAAGAAAAUUGUGAUCUUUUUGUUAUUUUCAUUCACCCCAUUUUUAUUUAUUAUUGUUGUUUGUUGGCACCAUCAAUGUGUUCUCCUUUAUACAGGACUUAUGUGGGGACCAAUAAAGUUAUAUUGUACUGAA